GGAGGAAGUCCCGCCCAGCGUCGCGCGGGGGCGGGGCGGGACGAAGGAUGGCUGCGGUCGUGGCUGUAGCUCUGCUGCGGAGAGGAGGACGCUGAAGAAGCGCAGAGUCGCGCAGGGCUGCGGAGAGGUGCCCGAGCCGCCGCGGGGUCCAUGGCCAGGACCACCAGCCAGCUGUUUCUCACAUCCUUGACCAAGAAGAAGCGGCAGACAUCACCAACGACAAAUGAGGAAAUGGAGGCCCAGAGACCAGACGCUUGUCCCAGGCACCAGAUGCACACAGCAGGGAUGGGGCCUCACACAGCCAACAGGCCGCACACGUGCACGAGUGUCAGCUGGUUCUGACUUCGUUUUCCCUACAGGAGACCCCACAAUGCCCUGUGUGCACCGAGAUCGGAAACCCUCCGGCACACUUGGGGAAUAAAGGAAAAACAGGGCUCCACGUAGAGACGAAGGUGCAUAUGUCAGGGCUCCAGGUCAUUCCGACCUCAGUACUGCCCCUGGACACCUACCCCGGAAACAAAACCCUCAGACUUCAGGACCCUGACCCCCAGGUUGCCUCCCCAGCUGCAGGCAGACACUGUUCAGUGUAGCUUUGAAUUUAGGAUGGCACACACGACUCAAAUGAGGCUCCCCAGAAGAAAAGACCCCUACCAGUGAGCCUCCUGAGGAGGCUCCUGGAACAACCGUG